AAUGCUAACUAGCUUAGCUAACCUCACAGCUCAGCUACAGGAAAAUUAUUAGAGAUAGCAGCUAAACUUUAUCUCUGAGGUAAAUAUUACUAAGAGUAUGGAAAUAUAAUUUUCUAUAAUAUUUAUUUAGACUUGUAAUAGACCAGUGUUGCAGAAAAUAAUCAUUUUAAUCAGAAAAUAUUACCUAAAGUUAAUUUAACUAAUUCAGUUAAGCGUUAAGUUGGCUAAAAGUUAAAUGGUAAGCUUUCUAGCUAACCUAGCUAGCUUCACCUCACAGCAGAGAAGCAUCCGGAAUCAGCAGCUAAUCUCUGAGUGGCCCAGAGUGUCCAGCCAAAUGAGAGUGAUCAGAAUGGACAGCGGCAAAUGGAGAUUCAAUUUCACACGUCACCUGCUCCUCCUUAGAGUGGAAUACAAUCCUGUUUGAAGGAGAAGGGAAAUUACAGCUUUAAAUCUUCAUAUUCUUUCUCCAAAUCUGGAAAAGUGACAGAUGAGCUCGAUAUCACCCAGACGAGAGUGAGAAGAUGCCACCCCUCAGACAGAGAGAGGAGAGAGAAGAUGGGCACAGUGGUGUCCAGCACAUCGUCUGUCCUCUCCCUCAGCCCAGUUUAUUUCCUGGAAGAAUAUAUAUAUGUAUUUUGAGGAAAGUAAAUCCCUAAUUGCUGCUGCGGCGGGAAGUCGGGCCAGGAGAUGGAGAGGUAAGAGCAGUGUGUUCUGUGGCACGGCGUUCUGGUGAAAGACCUUUUUGUGACAGGGUCUCUUUAUCCAGCAGGGGAGGCCUGUAUCCAGAUAUUAAACAACCCCAGCACAAAAUAACUUAUUAUAGCCAACAGGAGCCCAGACCCAUUUCUGAAUUAUAGAUCUAUCUACAGCUCUGUAAUAAAUGAAGAGAUCGCUUCAGUUUCUGAAUCAGUUUCUCUGAUUUAGCUAUUUAUAGGUUUAUGUUUGAGUAAAAUGAACAUUGUUGUUUUAUUCUAUAAACUACAGACAACAUUUCUCCCAAAUUCCACAUAAAAAUAUUCUCAUUUAGAGCAUUUAUUUACAGAAAAUGAGAAAUGACUGAAAUAACAAAAAAGACGCAGAGCUUUCAGACCUCAAAUAAUGCAAAGAAAACAAGUUCAUAUUCAUAAAGUUUUAAGAGUUCAGAAAUAAUCAAUAUUUGGUGGAAUAACCCUGGUUUUUG